AUUGAACGCUGGCGGCAGGCCUAACACAUGCAAGUCGAGCGGUAGCACAGGGAGCUUGCUCCUGGGUGACGAGCGGCGGACGGGUGAGUAAUGUCUGGGAAACUGCCUGAUGGAGGGGGAUAACUACUGGAAACGGUAGCUAAUACCGCAUAACGUCGCAAGACCAAAGAGGGGGACCUUCGGGCCUCUUGCCAUCAGAUGUGCCCAGAUGGGAUUAGCUAGUAGGUGGGGUAACGGCUCACCUAGGCGACGAUCCCUAGCUGGUCUGAGAGGAUGACCAGCCACACUGGAACUGAGACACGGUCCAGACUCCUACGGGAGGCAGCAGUAGGGAAUAUUGCACGAUGGGCGCAAGCCUGAUGCAGCCAUGCCGCGUGUAUGAAGAAGGCCUUCGGGUUGUAAAGUACUUUCAGCGGGGAGGAAGGCGAUAAGGUUAAUAACCUUGUCGAUUGACGUUACCCGCAGAAGAAGCACCGGCUAACUCCGUGCCAGCCGCCGCAGUAA
rnacentral:rRNA from 1 species